CCCAUUUCCCAGGGAAUUUCCAGCAACAGUGUUUAACCUCAACGUUUAAAAUCCCUGGUGGCAGAGCCUGACAUUCAGUGCACAGAAGCCUGCUCGACCUCAGCCCUGUGCACCAGGCUGCCCAGCAUCCCUGCCUCGUUGUACCCAUGAGGGUCUCUGCCCCAGACGGUCCCAGCAAAAGCAGUUUCAGGGCUGAAUUCAGUCGGGUUUCACAUCUUUUUCUUUUGCGGAGGUGAUACUACAUUGCCAGCUACGCUUUUUUACCAUAUGCAACACCAACACACUGGCAGUUAACAAGCUACAACACAGAACCACUUGGCAACACAGAGAAAAUGGGCAGAAAAUCCCCAAGCAAGAGGGAAGAGGGGAAAAAAAUGCGAUGAAUUGACUGCAUUAAGCAUGCAAGAGAGAACUGUAAAGGAGAGCCUGCCAGGGAGCAAAGGUGCCCUCCCAGGCUUGUGCACAGCACCAAGUAGGGAACUUCAGCAGGGGAAGCAGCCACUGCUAGACCAUCAGCGAGAUGAAGCACCUGAAUACUUUCUGGAGAGCAACAGAGGGAGAAGAGAGUGAUCUCACUACUCCAAUCACAUUGCAUUGUUAUAUACCUUGGAAACAGAAAAGCAGUCUAGGUAACAGAUGAUCACAAGACAGAAGAAUAAGUGACCCUGCAUUACAUAGUUUCAUAGUCCCAAACACAGUUAAAAUCAGGGAGAAAGGACAAGACGCUACUAAAGCAGGAAGAAGUGAUGGAAUCUUAAUCUUUUACAGUACCUUACACCAGCAAGCCUUUAGGGGAAUGGUCUUAUGGGGUUCAGUAGAAGACCACCUUUCUCCCCACGUCCUCUUCACCAGCUCUCCACUAAGUCAACCUCCCUGAAGACGAAACCUGUGCUGCUCUCCAUCCAUGCUAGAGUUUGUGGAACUGGGAAUCUCACAGAAUCACAGAGUGUUCUCAGUCAGAUCCUGCAACCCCCUCUCCUACUCCCCAAACACCAGCUUAGUACCCUCUCCAAAUCCUCUUUGGGAGGAAAAGACCUCAAUGAGUGCAACUACAACUUUGUAUCUUUCAAGCAGAUGAUAUUUCCAUUAAUUUCCAAGCUCCUGUUUAAAUGUAAGUGUACAUAGAGUUGGAAUGAAUAAUAGGGCUGAUAACAAUGAAAGCAGAAUACAUUGUGCUACGUAUGCCCUUGUCAGCACACAGAUGUCAUAAAGCAUCCUGGUUCCACCAUAAAAAUGUUAAAGAACCUAGGACUUUGUCUAAAAUAUCUUGGCUAGGAGCUUAAUCACUUCUAAGACUAAAAAAAAAUCCCUUUGGUACAGCAAAGUGAGUUGCACAAAAGGAGUUCUACAGAGAACAUGUGAGACAUGACGUUUUUCAUCAGCAUGGAGAGUGGGCCCACUUUAGUUCACAAAAUACCAGUGGCAGAGCCUGGUAAGUUUACUCUGUGAAACAUCACAUGUAAGUCAGCCUCCUGACUGGAACAAAUGAGAUUUAGUCCUCACUGCAAAGCUGCCACCAAAAAAGCCUGCAAGCCAGUUUCAUUUAGCAAAUGGGCAGUACCUUCUCACAGCAGGGACAGAUUUUAAUUUCCAUUUAGGAUCAGGGACACACACAGGUAAACAGCAGUAAUGCACCUCUAGGCUGUUCCAUGCCUCAGCUCAUUUUAAAUAAAGCUACCUCAGGGAAGGGAGGUGGUUUUGAGGUGAAAUACAAAAUUGAGGAACUGCGAUAUCUGUAUCCUUCUUGAAGGUGAGCGCGACAUGCAGAACAUGAUACUCCGCCUCCAGCACAGUCUGGGCUGCUCAAGACACGAUUGACAUCCCCCGACAAAGAUUUAAAGAUUAUUCAGUAUCAAAUGUUCACCAGUGUUUUGAACAGCUAAACAAUGAAUUUUCCCACUGCCUCUCCUGCUAAUGAUGAGCGAAUAAAGAAUCCCCUAGGGAAUUUCCCUUCAUCUGCUCACGAGUGCCACUUCGCUAGUCACAUUUAUCUGACAAAUCUUACAGAUGGCUUGGCACGAGCUUGCAACAAGCACACCAUCUUUGGAGCUGGGAUUGGCCGCCCGAGCCACGCGACGCUUUCUGUGGCAAACUGGGCGAGCCCACAGCGGAGCCCCAUACCAGCUACUGGAGAAAUAUCCCGAGGAAAUUUACAGCUUCACCCAGCACUGUUUCAGCAGAAGACACUGAUGAUGACAUUUCCGACACUGCAGCCACCCCAUGAGGAGUGGAGUCUCUUGGCACAGGAGAAUUUGUUCUCUGACCCAGACAGAAAGAUAUCCUGGAAAAUUACUCCCAUUGAGCCCUUUUCCUGCUGUUUUUGUGCUGAAUGCCUGUUAAAGAUGAAUUUUCCCCGUUAAAAUAAUGGGGAAGAGAAUAUAAAGAUCCAUCUGCAGA